AGAACAGUGAAUAAAGGAUAGAUUUCAACCUGGCAGGACACAAAUAUGAGUUUGCCAAGUAAAUUCUAACUUUGGGGUACUUUAGAGGUCCUCUGAGGCAUCCUGAAGAGAAAUAUUUAACUAAGAUUAUCUGCCUACUCAAAGAUGUGGUGAAGUUACUCUAAAGCAUGCUCUGGAGCCAGACGCCCUUCCAGCCAACCAGCCAAAAGUUC